rnacentral:rRNA from 1 species
AUGGCGCCGGUGAGCAACGAGACGUUCCUCCCGACGGCGGCCUGGGGGGAGGCGACGCUGCGCCCGUCCUUCGUGCGGGACGAGGACGAGCGGCCCAAGGUGGCGCACGACCGCUUCAGCGAUGCGGUGCCGGUGAUCUCGCUCGAUGGCAUCGACGGCGCGCGCCGGGCCGAGAUCCGGGACCGCGUGGCGGCGGCCUGCGAGGGCUGGGGCAUCUUCCAGGUGGUCGACCACGGCGUCGACGCCGACCUCAUCGCCGACAUGACGCGCCUCUCUCGCGAGUUCUUCGCGCUGCCCGCCGAGGACAAGCUCCGGUACGACAUGUCCGGUGGCAAGAAGGGCGGCUUCAUCGUCUCCAGCCACCUGCAGGGUGAGGCGGUGCAGGACUGGAGGGAGAUUGUGACCUACUUCUCGUACCCGGUGAAAGCACGGGACUACGGGCGGUGGCCGGAGAAGCCGGCGGGGUGGCGCGCUGUGGUGGAGCGAUACAGCGAGCGACUCAUGGGGCUGUCGUGCAAGCUGCUGGGCGUGCUGUCCGAGGCGAUGGGCCUGGAGUCGGAGGCGCUCGCCAAGGCGUGCGUGGACAUGGACCAGAAGGUGGUGGUCAACUUCUACCCGCGGUGCCCCCAGCCGGACCUCACCCUGGGUCUCAAGCGUCACACCGACCCCGGCACCAUCACCCUCCUCCUCCAGGACCUCGUCGGCGGCCUCCAGGCCACCCGCGACGGCGGCAAGACCUGGAUCACCGUCCAGCCCAUCUCCGGCGCAUUCGUCGUCAACCUCGGCGACCACGGCCACUUCCUGAGCAAUGGCAGGUUCAAGAACGCGGACCACCAGGCGGUGGUGAACGGGGAGAGCAGCAGGCUGUCGAUCGCGACAUUCCAGAACCCGGCGCCGGACGCGAGGGUGUGGCCGCUGGCGGUGAGGGAGGGGGAGGAGCCCAUACUGGAAGAGCCCAUCACCUUCGCCGAGAUGUACCGCCGCAAGAUGGAGCGCGACCUCGACCUCGCCAAGCGCAAGAAGCAGGCCAAGGACCAGCUGAUGCAGCAGCAGCUCCAGCUGCAGCAGCAGCAGCAGGCGGUCGCCGCCGCGCCCAUGCCCACCGCCUCCAAGUCUCUCAACGAAAUUCUUGCCUGA